UCAUUUCCAAGCAUAUAGACACUGCUCAGGAUAUUCACAACAUACUUUCUGCUCAUUAUUUCUCUAUCUUCUUUUUUUUUUUAAAUGGUAAGCUUACCUCUAUAUAUCCACAAGUAUACUACAUCAAAGUGUAGUCUCCCUUAACAAAAGUUGUCACUUUACAGAGUCCUAGUAUUCCUAGUUACAUCCAGUCAAUAGCAUUAAAACAUCUUCUGUGCUGUCUAUGACUACUUGUUUGCACCAAAAAUAAUAAAAGCCUAAUCAAUCUGUCUUGAUCUUCUGUAUAUUUCUCUGUUUGCCUUCAAAACACCUCUGAUUCCUCUCUUUCCUUAUAGUCCACCAUAUACAUGUUGGGACCAUUUUCCAUCUCUCCUCCUUCACUGCAUCGACAUCUCUAUUCUAGCUUCUUAGCACUUCUUUAAUUUUCCUAGGUUUCACCCAAAAAUAAUAAAGGCGUAAGCAGUCUGUCUUGAUCUUCUGUAUAUUUCUCUGUUUGCCUUCAAAACACUUUUUUUUUUUUGAUAACCGAGAAAUCCGUCUGUGACCCGCCCUUUGGACCAAUCACAGCUUUCUAAACCCAGUGGAUAAUGGGCCCGCCCCUCUACCCUUCUCCACUUAAAUACCGGGCUUUGCUUUGCAUGGUGUGGGGCUUGAACCUGCGACUUAAGCCACAAAUCCUCCACCUUUUGCCACUUGAGCUAGGCCUUGGGGGCUGCCUUCAAAACACUUUUGAUUCCUCUCUUUCCAUAUAGUCUACCAUAUACAUGUUAGGACCAUUUUCCAUCUCUCCUCCUUCACUGCAUCAACAUCUCUAUUCUAGCUUCUUAGCACUUCUUUAAUUUUCCUAGGUUUCACCCAAAAAUAAUAAAGGCGUAAGCAGUCUGUCUUGAUCUUCUGUAUAUUUCUCUGUUUGCCUUCAAAA
rnacentral:lncRNA from 1 species